CAGCACUAAGUGGGUGGUAAACUCCAUCUAAAACUAAAUAUAACCAUGAGACCGAUAGCAAACAAGUACCGUGAGGGAAAGUUGAAAAGAACUCUGAAUAGAGAGUUAAAUAGUACGUGAAACUGCUUAGAGGUUAAGCCCGAUGAACCUGAAUAUCCGUUGUAGAAAAUUCAUCAUCAAUUGUGUGGUAUUUCUCGGAAUAUCAUAUGAAUGGUGUGCACUUUUUCUACUUAAGGACAUUGUAAUCUGUUAAUGUUUGAAUGCGUAUUAUAAGAACAUUUACAAUAGUUUUUACAUCAUUUGAUUUAUUAAAUGUGUUUAAAUGUGAGUGCUUCGAAUAUGCCAUUGACAGAUUUUUCUAUAUAUUGCACUUAAAUCACUUGUGAUUUUAUAAUAGUAUGAUUAUCAUUGAUUUUUGUAUUCAUUAUAUGUGCAUAUAUGAUUGACAAUGCGAAAGAUUCAGGAUACCUUCGGGACCC
rnacentral:rRNA from 1 species